rnacentral:tRNA from 1 species
AUUUAUAUAGUUUAAAUAUAAAACAUUACAUUUUCAAUGUAAAAUUAAAUAAUUUUUAUAAAUA